AGUGACGUGCUCAGCUUUGCCAGCGGUGGGUCUACUGGCACCAGCUGGAGGUGGCUGUGUCUGGCAAGGGCAGCCUCACGUUCUUUCUCACAGAAGCCUCCCCUCCCCAGUACCCUUCCUGCAGCAGCACCCGGCCACAGCCACCAGCUGUGUCUGUUCUCCAGGUAUGAGGAAGUAGGGACAUAGACUGGCCAGAGAACGGGCGUGUGGAUGCCAAGAGGGCAGCACAGCCUAGCACAGCCAGCCCGGGACCACAGAGCCCCCUUUCUCAGGAACACGCGUAGGAAAUUAAAGCCACUUCAGUAAAUAAGGAUAAUGC